rnacentral:lncRNA from 1 species
UGCCACUCCAGCCCUGAGAAUAUACUGGCAUGGUUAUGCAGCAUUUGAAAUUCAAAAGGAAGGUGUUACCUGCUAUCUUGCAUAAAUCUCUAACAAUUGCAAAUGGAAUAUAUUAUCGUCAGAUCCGAUUG